UAGAGAUUUAGGAUAGAAGUCUAUAGCUUGAAGUUUCUGAACUAUGAACAGCCUUAACCGUUAGUAUACUUGAAGAGAUUUGCAUGUUGCACAGUCCUUCACGCAGCCUCUAAAAGGAAUUCAUUCCAUAAGGUAUUUUUUAACAGAUGCUUUUUCCUUGGCUUACAGCUCUUCAAAGAGGUCACUGGUAUGUUCAAUCCCAAAAUCUUAUUUAAGAGUAAGGCUGACUAUGAACAGGAGAGCCAAACUCAUCAAGAGGGGCAGGAUCAUAUGGAGGGCAAGCAAAUAAAAGUAACAAGCUGCAAGAUACUAGCAUGAUGAGUACAGGAAAAGAUGAGGAGAGCAAUACAAAUGGCUCUUUAAAUGUUCCUUAUCUGAGCAGCCAGGAGUCUUGAGGCAAAAAACCAGGUACUUCUCUUUCCAAGAGGAAGGUAGCAGCAAGAGAAAAAGAGGCCACACAGGGUGACCCAGCUCCACUUAACAAAUAUACAAAGCAAGUAACCAAGCAUUUUUGUGAUUGGGUUAUGUCUUUGGGAGGAGGGAACUGGAAUAUUGAUGAAGAUGCACUCAGGAGUUUGUUUCUAUGCACUUAUCGUAGAGAAAGAGAGUGUGCAUAAAAAUUCUUUAAUAAUGGUUACUUUUUACAUGCAGUAGAGCAAUAAAAUAGGAGGAUGAGACCUAAGACUACUAUUUAAGGAGCACAAAAGGGAAGGAGGACGUUGUUCGUGCUGUAGGGGGCGCUCCUUCCAAAGGAGAUAGAAGUUGCACAGCUCUACAGUACACAGGCCUUUAAGGAGUUCCUGGAAAGAAAAGGCUACCAAAAGCCUCGGUUCCUUCUGAAAAUGAUGGCUGGGAGAAAUUAUAAUGGAGCUCAAGAGAAGAUGUUCAAAGCUUCUAAGAAGUGAUGACCAAAGA